GUGAAAUCCCCGAGCUUAACUUGGGAAUUGCAUUCGAUACUGGUUGGCUAGAGUGUGGGAGAGGAUGGUAGAAUUCCAGGUGUAGCGGUGAAAUGCGUAGAGAUCUGGAGGAAUACCGAUGGCGAAGGCAGCCAUCUGGCCUAACACUGACGCUGAGGUGCGAAAGCAUGGGGAGCAAACAGGAUUAGAUACCCUGGUAGUCCAUGCCGUAAACGAUGUCUACUAGCCGUUGGGGCCUUUGAGGCUUUAGUGGCGCAGCUAACGCGAUAAGUAGACCGCCUGGGGAGUACGGUCGCAAGACUAAAACUCAAAUGAAUUGACGGGGGCCCGCACAAGCGGUGGAGCAUGUGGUUUAAUUCGAUGCAACGCGAAGAACCUUACCUGGCCUUGACAUAGUAGAAACUUUCCAGAGAUGGAUUGGUGCCUUCGGGAAUCUACAUACAGGUGC
rnacentral:rRNA from 1 species